rfam:Lupinus angustifolius cultivar Tanjil contig_6124, whole genome shotgun sequence.
GGACAGUGACGAUUGAUAUUAAGGUCUCGUUCGUCGUAAUUGGCUUUAUUAGCCUUGCCGACCACUCUGUUAUAUCACCACCCAUAUUCUGAGUCC